CAGGUUGUAAAUAUGUAAAUACUUCAUUUGAUCGUAUAAAUAUAUAAAUUGUUUGUUUAAUCUUCUCCCUCCUCCCUCCCUUUGUAGAUUUUUUAAUUUAUUUUUUACUUUUUUACUUCAAAUACACGAUGUGAGUUUGCACUAAGCGUUAUGCAAAUGAAUGUGUGAUGACGUCAUCAACAUGCAAAUGAGUAUAUGACAUCAUUUGGUGACUUUUAGUGACUUUUGGGGCUAAUGCUAGCUACUUUGAUUGGAAAAGAGUUGGCAACACUGUUCCCACUGCUCAGCCUCCUCAGAGAGUUCAUACCACGGUGCUGAAAAGGAGGCUGAUGGUUGAUUCAGAUUCAGUGAUGUGGAUUCCAUCCUGGUUGUGGAACAAUAGAGCAGCUCUGCACCCUUGCCUGCCCAUCCAGUGUACAUGUGUUUUGUGGACUUGGAUAGGGUUUAUUAUGACCUUUUUAACUGGAGCAAGACCUGUGUUCACAUUCUCUGCAAUGAAGUUUAGCACAUUCUUGGUCAGUGUUGGACUUAUGCCAUUUAUUUAGUCUCAAAACAAACACACAUGCAUGUGAUACGAGUGCGCAAAACAAUAUCCACAAGCAGAAAAGCAUCCUCGUAGGGGAGCAUUUCUGCUCCGCGUGCACACGAGCAAAACUCUCUCUAGGCACUCGCAACUGCCCAACGCUUGUUUCCACAGUCUACGCUCACUCGUUAAGUUGACUUUUAAGACUUUGGAGGCGGGGACUCAACUUUCUUCUGAUUGACUAGCGGGGGCCGCUUGUCUUGCCUACUGUCACGUCUGCAUUCAAGGAUUACAUCUGGUCAUGGCCGCGCACAGAUCCUGCUGUUGUAGUGAUGCUGUGGUCAUCCUUCUCCCUGGCUGUGCAGCUGACCCCUGCAGAUCCUCUUAUCUCAACAUCCUUCAACACUCCUCUGCAACAAACACUCAGCAUUUACAACUGUCUUUUGUAAACAUGUUUCAGUACAAGUGUGUCCAUCAUUUAGCCGGUAACCAAUGUAUUGUAGUUACAAAUAGCUGCAAAGUUGACCCAUCCUUUGUCCUUUACAGUGUUAGGCAGACACAGCCUUUGAUUUUGUACAGGUUUUUGGCCAAUAAAAAAAACUAAUGGAAUGAUG